CAACCCUAAAUUUUCUUAGGUUGACCUCGGAUCAGGUAGGGAUACCCGCUGAACUUAAGCAUAUCAAUAAGCGGAGGAAAAGAAACCANCAGGGAUUACCUCAGUAACGGCGAGUGAAGCGGUAACAGCUCAAAUUUGAAAUCUGGCUCUUUCAGGGUCCGAGUUGUAAUUUGUAGAAGAUGCUUUGGGUGUGGCUCCGGUCUAAGUUCCUUGGAACAGGACGUCAUAGAGGGUGAGAAUCCCGUAUGUGACUGGAUGCUUUCGCCCGUGUAAAGCUCUUUCGACGAGUCGAGUUGUUUGGGAAUGCAGCUCAAAAUGGGUGGUAAAUUUCAUCUAAAGCUAAAUAUUGGCCAGAGACCGAUAGCGCACAAGUAGAGUGAUCGAAAGAUGAAAAGCACUUUGGAAAGAGAGUUAAACAGUACGUGAAAUUGUUGAAAGGGAAGCGCUUGCAACCAGACUCGCAUGCCGUCGAUCCUCCUGGGUUCUCCCUGGUGCACUCGGCGGUAUUCGGGCCAGCAUCGGUUUGGGUGGUGGGAUAAAGGCCUUUGGGAAUGUAGCUCCUCUUUCGGGGAGUGUUAUAGCCCUCGGUGCAAUGCUGCCUACCUGGACCGAGGACCGCGCUUCGGCUAGGAUGCUGGCGUAAUGGUUGUAAGCGACC
rnacentral:rRNA from 1 species